GACGAACGCUGGCGGCGUGCUUAACACAUGCAAGUCGAACGAAGAGCGACGGAAGCUUGCUUCUAUCAAUCUUAGUGGCGCACGGGUGAGUAACGCGUAAUCAACCUGCCCUUCAGAGGGGGACAACAGUUGGAAACGACUGCUAAUACCGCAUACGAUCUAACCUCGGCAUCGAGGAUAGAUGAAAGGUGGCCUCUACAUGUAAGCUAUCACUGAAGGAGGGGAUUGCGUCUGAUUAGCUAGUUGGAGGGGUAACGGCCCACCAAGGCGAUGAUCAGUAGCCGGUCUGAGAGGAUGAAAGGCCACAUUGGGACUGAGACACGGCCCAGACUCCUACGGGAGGCAGCAGUGGGGAAUCUUCCGCAAUGGACGAAAGUCUGACGGAGCAACGCCGCGUGAGUGAUGACGGCCUUCGGGUUGUAAAGCUCUGUUAAUCGGGACGAAAGGCCUUCUUGCGAAUAGUGAGAAGGAUUGACGGUACCGGAAUAGAAAGCCACGGCUAACUACGU
rnacentral:rRNA from 1 species